rnacentral:rRNA from 1 species
UUAAGUCCUCUAACGAGCGCAACUCCUACUGUUAGUUGCUAUUGCUUCGGCAAGCACUCUAGCGGGACUGCCUGGGAAACCAGGAGGAAGGUGGGAACGACGUCAAGUCAUCAUGGUCCUUAUGUCUAGGGCUACACACGUGUUACAAUGGAAGGUACAGAGAGUCGCAAGCCUGCGAGGGUGAGCUAAUCUUUUAAAGCCUUUCUAAGUUCGGAUUGGAGUCUGCAACUCGACUCCAUGAAGCUGAAAUCGCUAGUAAUCGCGCAUUAGAUCGGCGCGGUGAAUUCGUUCUCGGACCUU